rnacentral:lncRNA from 1 species
AAGUGCUGGCAAAUAAGACGGCAGACAAAGGCUCCCCAAGCUGCAGGGACCAUUCAUAGCGAUUUGAGAGAGGAUUUAUUUGUGCUGAGUUACUCCUUAUUCAUGCUCCUAAACAUAUCUUUGAUGUCAGUUAUCAGUAAAUUACCACCCAUGAAAAUUUAGAAGUCACUUUAUCACUAGGGCUAUCAUCUGUGAAAUCUUUGAACUACCUAUUUUCAUAUGCCUCCUUUCCCCAAAAGGUCCUCCUCUCAUUAAAUGAAGGGUUUUCAAGGAAAGGAGUAAUUUUAGAAAGAAAAGAUUUUCUUUUCUAAAAAAACGAAAGGAAGAAAAAGGUUUUCAAGAUUCGAAUCGUGCUUCAGUUUUGUAUUCAUGUCUUUGUUGUCAUCAAAAUGAAGGGAGAAUAUAUUAAUUUUGAUCCUAGUGAUAAUAAAUUAUUGGAUUUCUAUUGACACUUCAGUUGAUAUCGUGACCUGUGCUUCCCGACGAUGUUUAGGUCAUGAAAUUUGAGGAUCUGAAGGAACUUGGUAGUGAAUCUGCAGUUAAGGUAUGCUAAUCUCGAAUUGUUCAUACUCAUCCGCAUCUGAUAUUUUUCUGUUGUAUCUACUUGUUUGCCUGCUGCA